UGCAACGCGAAGAACCUUACCACUUCUUGACAUGGAGAUUAGAUCCUUCUUAACAGAAGGGCGCAGUUCGGCUGGAUCUCGCACAGGUGCUGCAUGGCUGUCGUCAGCUCGUGUCGUGAGAUGUUGGGUUAAGUCCCGCAACGAGCGUAACCCUCAUCCUUAGUUGCCAGCGGGUUAAGCCGGGCACUUUAAGGAGACUGCCAGUGGUAAACUGGAGGAAGGUGGGGAUGAUGUCAAGUCAGCACGGCCCUUAUGGGGUGGGCUACACACGUGCUACAAUGG
rnacentral:rRNA from 1 species